rnacentral:rRNA from 1 species
UACGUAGGGUGCAAGCGUUGUCCGGAAUUACUGGGCGUAAAGGGCUCGUAGGCGGCCAACUAAGUCAUACGUGAAAUCCCUCAGCUUAACUGGGGAACUGCGUGUGAUACUGGAUGGCUUGGAUUUGGGAGAGGGAUGCGGAAUUCCAGGUGUAGCGGUGAAAUGCGUAGAUAUCUGGAGGAACACCGGUGGCGAAGGCGGGUCUCUGGGCCGAGAUUGACGCUGAGGAGCGAAAGCGUGGGGAGCGAACAGG